rnacentral:lncRNA from 1 species
ACUGAACAACUGUUGUUUUUACCAAAAUCUGUGCAGUGACCAGGCCUGAAUCCAAAUCUAAUUUGAUUCUACAACCUAGACUUCUGCUGCAUUCUUUGUAUCAGAAUCAGCAAAGAUUUCUUCUAUAUAUAAGACACUGAGUUCACUAUUUGGGGAGGUGGUUUGGAAACCCAGAUGUUUCUGGUGUGCACAGUGGUUUCUAGUCUUCGUAUUCCAUCUACCAAAAGACAGUGAUAUGUUCUGACUGGACACUCUCUCCUCAGCAUCUUAUUUUGACAUUGAUGAAAAAGGUUUGGGGAUUAAAUCUUAUUGAGCUCUCCAAUUCCAAAAUGGUAAGUUUAUGUAAUUAGGUCAAAAAGACAGAAAAUAGAAAGUUGGUCUGUGGAUUUGGGCAGGAGCAAGGAAGCACUGCUCUUACCCUUGUCUCAGUGACUUAAUCAAAGACUAGAGUUUAAUCAGUGGAGUGGUCAGUGUUCAGAAACACACUAGAAAAGUGUCCAAAAUGUGUGUUAAGAACUCAUAGUCUAGAAGGGAGGUUGUAUGUGAUACAUGCUAUGAAAAUUCCAUCCCAAGGUGGUGUGGAGUUCAGAAAGGAAAAAAAGAGCAGAAUAAUUGGGGUGAGAGAGGCUAAAGGCCUGCUGAUUCAGCCUCAGGUGGCAAAUGUGGCUAAGGCAAAGAGUAUGGAAAAGAGAUAAGAAUGGUAUGAGCAAAGGUUUGUGACCAGGAAACGGCUAGGUAAUUUCCAAGAAGAGUAGGGAAUUUAGGGAGAACAGAGAGCACUGAAUUGGAG